CCUACGGGAGGCAGCAGUGAGGAAUAUUGGUCAAUGGGCGGGAGACUGAACCAGCCAAGCCGCGUGAGGGAAGACGGUCCUAAGGAUUGUAAACCUCUUUAGGCGGGGAGCAAUGCCGUCCACGCGUGCCCUGAGCGAGAGUACCUGCAGAAUAAGCAUCGGCUAACUCCGUGCCAGCAGCCGCGGUAAUACGGAGGAUGCGAGCGUUAUCCGGAUUUAUUGGGUUUAAAGGGUGCGUAGGCGGAGUUUUAAGUCAGCGGUAAAAUGUCGGGGCUCAACCCGGGCGGGCCGUUGAAACUGGUGAUCUUGAGUGGGCGAGAAGUAUGCGGAAUGCGUGGUGUAGCGGUGAAAUGCAUAGAUAUCACGAAGAACUCCGAUUGCGAAGGCAGCAUACCGGCGCCCGACUGACGCUGAGGCACGAAAGCGUGGGGAUCGAACAGGAUUAGAUACCCGAGUAGUC
rnacentral:rRNA from 1 species